CCACUUUUCACGGACUGGAAGGCGGAGCAGAGGCUCGAGGAGGAGUGAUCCAUCUUUAGAAGCAGAGACGAUCUGUGCGCAGGGCGCCGUGUUUACAGCGCGCACGGCAGACUGCAGGCUGAUCGGAAGAGACUGUGCAUGUACCUGUACGUGAAUCUGUCUAACCGACGCUGCCUGUUCAGACAUCUAUCGACGGAAAACACUAGAUAUGCAAAGGACUUGACCUAACCUGGAGCAAUAAGGUCACAUUCUCCAUGUCCCGCUGAUAUGAAGGUGAAGCUCUCCGACCACAACAACGCGGUGUGUGUGUGCAUGAUGAGCGGCUGAGGAGGAGGAGGAGGCUGCGGUCUGAAACUAGAUUUUUAUCCUGGAUAUUUCGAAACAAACGUCGUGGCGUUCACACAAGGGGGCUGCGCAUUGAUUUAUAAUGUUACUGCAUCGCCCAGACAGCCUCUUUCCAUCCCGUUUUUAAGGCGGUUUGCCCCGUUGUUCCUGCCUCCUGAGGACCCUCCAGCAGCGGGACGUUGAGCGUUUUUCCUCCAGACAUGGAGCGUGAAGAUGCGGAUUACAGAGGAGCCCCCGCCGCCCGUGUGACCGCUGCUGUCUCCACAUCCACGCGGAGUUGUUUUUGGCAGGAAUAAAAACAGAACUAUGAAUACGUAUUUUCUGGCCAGAGGAAUAAAUCGGUGAUUUAUUUUUUUGAGCACGAUUUGGACUCUCAUUAGUAACGUGAGAAAGCUAUCCUGCUAGCUUGUUUGUAGUAUUAGCUAUUAGCUCCAUUAGCCGGCUAACUGCUAUAAAAAAAAAAAAAAGGUGCUGGCUGCAGAUUAAAGAGGCUUUAAAAAUAUUUGUGAGCAGGUUUUGCUCCACACUUCCUCCCCUCGACAUAUUUAUUUACAGGAUUUGGGAGGAUUUACUCAUCCAGGAAUGAGGUCUCGUACGGAAAGGAGCCGCUUGACCUUGUUUUGGGGUCUGAUGCUGGGUCUGUCGUCCUGCCUCCGGCCCGCCACCGCAGAGAUGAAGCUGUGCCAUGCUGAGCGACGCCGUCAAACUGCAAUGAGAGGUUUGGGGAACAUUUCCAGUGCCAGAAGAAAGUUCAUGGUGUUCUUUUGGAAAUUAAACCUUGUUCCACGUUAGUAAAUAUGUGGUUUCUGAAGAAACGCCACACCAUAUGUUUUGGGUAACUACUGAUUUUAGUAUCGGCAUCAAUGAUGUUUUUAAAUAUUCUGCUGGUCUUCACAUGAGUUUGUGCAGCGCUGUUUAACUCGUCUCUCUGCUCUGACGAGAGCUCUGCUUUGAGAGUGAUGCAUGAAGCAAACCUGAUCAGCUUCGUUAGGAAAUGGAGACAUUAAAAACAAAACUGUGCAUUAUGAGAUUAUGACAUAUUACACUAUAGUUUAUUUUCUUAGAUUAAACCGUGACGGUGACAUCUAGUGUGGGAAUAGGGAAUAUGUGUAGCCGGCGGCACAUCGCUCCAGCUCCACUUUAUGUUCUCAUUAAACCUGAAACACCAGCCCAAGUAUUUCAUUAUAUAAUAUUGUAAUUAAGAAAACACUUAAUUGUCUUUUUAUUUUUUCUACUUGUCUCGUUAUUGAAAAUUGUGAACAAACUAACAACGUUACACGUGCACGCAAAGUUAUUUAUUUAGCAUGUUUUUUGUUUAUAUAUAUUUUCUCUUUUUAUUUGUAUUUAAAAUGUUCAACUGUGCAUGUUAAAUAUAUUUACUUUUUAUAUUUUAUUAAAUAUAAAACAAUAAACUACCUGAACAAUAAAGUCACUAAAAUGUAAUCGGGGAUCACAGAAAACUUCUUGUAUGCGUCAUCAGGGUUAAUGUGUCCGUGUACUCCUUGCUGGGUGUGCAUCGUCUUUCCCAGACCUCUGUCACAUUCAUACAGUAAAACUUUAUAGACCAGCGCUGAAGUAGCAGUGUGACAACCUGUUAGGCGGUUGGUGUGAGUUUUCCAUGACUCACAGCCCUCCAGCUUUUGAAGUCUAAAUCCUCCUCACAGUGAUGUGAGAUAAUGGCCUCCGUGUUUCUGUGGGUGCUGCUGGGGCUUCAGGCGAAGUAUUGUUAGAGCAUAGCACACAGGUGGGAGAGAAAGAUAAACACUCCACCUAUCAUCACCGGUCAUCACCAUCGUGCCGAACCAAAUACUUCCUGAUGCGGGUUCGGAUUCACAGCAGAGCUUUUCAUAGUUUGCUUUGUACUUUGUAUUUCUUCAAAGUAUUUCUUUGUCUAAAUAGAAUCAGAGUCUCAGUAAAUGUCAAACUACUACUCAUGAAGUUAAAAUCAAAGGCAGGGAAAUCUCUUUUACCCUGAACAUAAACAUCUUAGUGUACGCACAGACCUCUCCUGUAGGGGGCGCUACACCGUGUACCACUGCC
rnacentral:lncRNA from 1 species